UACGGAGGGUGCAAGCGUUAAUCGGAAUUAUUGGGCGUAAAGCGCGCGUAGGCGGCUAUUUAAGUCUGAUGUGAAAGUCCCGGGCUCAACCCAGGAAGUGCAUUUGAAACUGUUCAGCUAGAGUAAGGGAGAGGAAAGUGGAAUUCCUGGUGUAGAGGUGAAAUUCGUAGAUAUCAGGAGGAACACCAGUGGCGAAGGCGGCUUUCUGGGCCACGACUGACGCUGAGGCGCGAAAGCUAGGGGAGCGAACAGG
rnacentral:rRNA from 1 species